rnacentral:lncRNA from 1 species
GCAGCGUGUUUCUCUUGCUGUCUUCAUACUACUUGGAGGCUAAGGCCUCAAAAAAGACAUAGGGAAGGCCACGAUGGUGUCUGGAAGUACAGGGUUCACUCUUGUUGUCAACGCCUGUGGCCAUUUACCUGAAAGAGAGAAAUCUUGACCAAGGGUCGCCAAAACCGGCAAUGCCCAGACCAGGGUGAGAAUGCUUCUGACCCUCAGGAUCUGAGAGUCACAUCAGUGCAGAGACUGUGGUGAAGCUGGUGAACAACCUGGUGCCUUCUCUGCAGGAGGGGACCCCUUCUUUGUCCCUGCCUUUCUUUCCAAAUACUGAAGAUUUGCCACCCGGCUCCAGGUACUGGACCUGCUGUUCGUGAGGAGGGCACACUGAUUUUAUCUAGCGACUUCCCCAUGAGUAGGGUGUGGUGCCAUCCACUGGAACAUAGUGGACUCACUGGCAAGAGCAAGUUGUCCUCUGAGAAGCUCCACCCAACAGUUGACUGACAUAUUCAGACAUCCACAGCCAAACAGUGGAUGGACCUUGGGGACUCUUAUGGAAGAAUAGGAAGAAGUAUUUCAAACCUUGAGGAGAUAGGAACUCCACAGGAAGACCAACAGAGUCAACUCAUCUGGACCCUGUGGCUCUCUGAAUCUGAAUCAUCAAGCAAAGAACCUACCUGGACUGAACCUAGGCCUCCUUGCACAUAUGUAGCAAAUGUGCAGCUUGGUCUUCAUGUGGGUCCCAUACAACUUGUGAAGGGGCUAACCCAAAAGCUGUUGCCUGUACAUGGGAUAUGUUUUUCUAGCAGGGCUGCCUUAUUUUUACCUCAAUGGGAGAGACAGUGCCAGGGGCCAGGGUUGGGGAAUGCCUGAGGGAGGGACCUUCCCAUCAGAGAAGAGGAGGUGGGAGGGAAGAAGGCUUGUGAGAAUGGGUGUUUGGGAGGGGCUGUAAAGUGAAUAUGUGAAAGAGAAAAAUAAUUUUUAUUUUAAAAU